UGAAAUUCGUGGACCGCAGCGAGACGCCCAAAAGCGAAGGCAUUUGCCAAGAGUGUUUUCAUUAAUCAAGAACGAAAGUCAGAGGUUCGAAGGCGAUUAGAUACCGCCCUAGUCCUGACCCGUAAAMGAUGCCAACUAUCAAUCCGCCAGUGGCUUCUAGUCAUUGGCGGGCGGAUCGACGGAAACGAAAGUUUUUCGGUUCCGGGGGAAGUAUGGUUGCAAAGCUGAAACUUAAAGGAAUUGACGGAAGGGCACCACCAGGAGUGGAGCUUGCGGCUUAAUUUGACUCAACACGGGAAAUCUCACCCGGCCAGUACAUCAUAAGGAUUGACAGAUUGAAAGCUCUUUCAUGAUUUGAUGAAUGGUGGUGCAUGGCCGUUCUUAGUUCGUGGUGUGAACUGUCUGCUUAAUUGCGAUAACGAGCGAGACUCCGACUGUUAAAUAGCGGGUAGUUUCUUUUGACUUCUACGCUUCUUAACGGGAUUCGCGGCUUCAAAGUCGCAAGAAAUGGAGCAAUAACAGGUCUGUGAUGCCCUUAGAUGUUCGGGGCGGCACGCGUGCUACAAUGGUGGUAACAGCGUGAUUGUCCUCGCCCGACAGGGCUUGGCAAACAGUUGAGAUAUUAUUAUGGCUGGAAUUGAGUGUUGAAAUUUUCUCUCAUGAACGAGGAAUUCCAAGUAAAUGCGAGUCAUCAACUUGCAUUGAUUACGUCCCUGCCCUUUGUACACACCGCCCGUCGCUACCCGGGACUGAGUUAUUUCGAGAAAUCUACGGACCAACUAGUGUGGGGGAGCAAUCCUUCGCCUAAUGGAAAG
rnacentral:rRNA from 1 species